rnacentral:rRNA from 1 species
GUGCACGCUGGCGGUAGGCCUAACACAUGCCAGUCGCACGGCAGCACAGUAAGAGCUUGCUCUUACGGGUGGCGAGUGGCGGACGGGUGAGGAAUACAUCGGAAUCUACUUUUUCGUGGGGGAUAACGUAGGGAAACUUACGCUAAUACCGCAUACGACCUACGGGUGAAAGCAGGGGAUCUUCGGACCUUGCGCGAUUGAAUGAGCCGAUGUCGGAUUAGCUAGUUGGCGGGGUAAAGGCCCACCAAGGCGACGAUCCGUAGCUGGUCUGAGAGGAUGAUCAGCCACACUGGAACUGAGACACGGUCCAGACCCCUACGGGAGGCAGCAGUGGGGAAUAUUGGACAAUGGGCGCAAGCCUGAUCCAGCCAUACCGCGUGGGUGAAGAAGGCCUUCGGGUUGUAAAGCCCUUUUGUUGGGAAAGAAAAGCAGCAGGUUAAUACCCCGCUGUUCUGACGGUACCCAAAGAAUAAGCACCGGCUAACUUCGUG